GAUGAACGCUGGCGGCGUGCCUAAUACAUGCGAGUCGAGCGAACAGACGAGGAGCUUGCUCCUCUGACGUUAGCGGCGGACGGGUGAGUAACACGUGGAUAACCUACCUAUAAGACUGGGAUAACUUCGGGAAGCCGGAGCUAAUACCGGAUAAUAUAUUGAACCGCAUGGUUCAAUAGUGAAAGACGGUUUUGCUGUCACUUAUAGAUGGAUCCGCGCCGCAUUAGCUAGUUGGUAAGGUAACGGCUUACCAAGGCGACGAUGCGUAGCCGACCUGAGAGGGUGAUCGGCCACACUGGAACUGAGACACGGUCCAGACUCCUACGGGAGGCAGCAGUAGGGAAUCUUCCGCAAUGGGCGAAAGCCUGACGGAGCAACGCCGCGUGAGUGAUGAAGGUCUUCGGAUCGUAAAACUCUGUUAUUAGGGAAGAACAAAUGUGUAAGUAACUAUGCACGUCUUGACGGUACCUAAUCAGAAAGCCACGGCUAACUACGUG
rnacentral:rRNA from 1 species